CCUACGGGUGGCAGCAGUGAGGACUAUUUGUCACUGGCCGGACGGCUGAACCAGCCAUUCCGCGUGAAGGUCAGUGCCCUAUGGGCGUUAAACUUCUUUUGUGCGGGAGCAAUAAUGGUCACGUGUGGCCAGACGAGAGUACCGUACGAAUAAGCAUCUGCUAACUCCGUGCCCGCGGCCGCGGUAAUACGGGGGAUACAAGCGUUAUCCGGAUUUAUUGGGUUUAAAGGGUGCGUAGGCUGUGAGGUAAGUCAGCGGUGAAAUGCCCCCGCUCAACGGGGUGAAGUACCAUUGAUACUGCCGUGCUGGAAUGCGGAUGACGUGGGAAGAAUGUGUGGUGUAGCGGUGAAAUGCAUAGAUAUCACACAGAACACCGAUUGCGAAGGCAUCUCACGAAUCCGCGAUUGACGCUGAUGCACGAAAGCGUGGGUAUCAAACAGGAUUAGAUACCCCUGUAGUC
rnacentral:rRNA from 1 species